rnacentral:rRNA from 1 species
AUUGAACGCUGGCGGAAUGCUUUACACAUGCAAGUCGAACGGCAGCACGGGGCAACCUGGUGGCGAGUGGCGAACGGGUGAGUAAUACAUCGGAACGUGCCCAAUCGUGGGGGAUAACGUAGCGAAAGUUACGCUAAUACCGCAUACGAUCUACGGAUGAAAGCGGGGGAUCGCAAGACCUCGCGCGAAUGGAGCGGCCGAUGUCAGAUUAGGUAGUUGGUGGGGUAAAGGCUCACCAAGCCAACGAUCUGUAGCUGGUCUGAGAGGACGACCGGCCACACUGGAACCGAGACACGGUCCAGACUCCUACGGGAGGCAGCAGUGGGGGAAUUUUGGACAAUGGGCGCAAGCCUGAUCCAGCCAUUCCGCGUGCAGGAUGAA